CCCUUAGAUGUUCUGAACCGCACGCGUGUUACACUGAUGCAUUCAACGAGCUUUACCUUGGCCGAGAGGCCUGGGAAAUCUUUUUAGCAUGCAUCGUGAUAGGGAUUGAUUAUUGCAAUUAUUAAUCAUGAACGAGGAAUUCCUAGUAAACGCAUUUCAUCAAAAUGCAUUGAUUACGUCCCUGCCCUUUGUACACACCGCCCGUCGCUCCUACCGAUUGAGUGGUCCGGUGAAUUAUUCGGACUGCAACGCGUUCAGCUUCUGGAUGCAGUUGCGGAAAGUUUUGUAAACCUUAUCACUUAGAGGAAGGAGAAGUCGUAACA
rnacentral:rRNA from 1 species